GGGCCCGUAGUUCACCGGGUAGAACACCGCAUUUGCACUGCGGAGAUAAGCGGUUCGAGUCCGCUCGGGUCCA
rnacentral:tRNA from 2 species